GUCCUUUUGAAUUUUAUUUAAGGUCUAGUCUGCCCACUGAAUUUAUAUUUUAAAUGGCCGCAGUAUUUUGACUGUGCAAAGGUAGCAUAAUCAUUAGUUUUUUAAUUAAAAGCUUGUAUGAAAGGCUGGACGAGGUAAAAUCUGUCUCUAUUUAAAUUAUAGUAGAAUUUAACUUUUAAGUUAAAAGGCUUAAAUAUUAUUAAAAGACGAGAAGACCCUAUAGAGCUUUAUAAUUUAUUAAUUAAAAUUAAUUUAGAAAUAUUUAUGUUUUAGUUAAUUAAAUUAUUUUAUUGGGGUAAUAGAAAGAUUGAAUUAAUUCUUUUUUAUAAUAAACAUUAAUUUAUGAAUAUUAAUGAUCCAAUUUUAUUGAUUAUAAGAUUAAGUUACCUUAGGGAUAACAGCGUAAUUUUUUUAAAGAGUUCAUAUCGAUAAAAAAGUUUGCGACCUCGAUGUUGGAUUAAAGAUUAUUUUAGGUGCAGAAGCUUAAUAAAUUUGGUCUGUUCGACCAUUGAAUCUUUAC
rnacentral:rRNA from 1 species